rnacentral:rRNA from 1 species
CUACGGGGUGCUCCAGUGGGGAAUAUUGGACAAUGGGGGAAACCCUGAUCCAGCAAUGCCGCGUGUGUGAAGAAGGCCUGCGGGUUGUAAAGCACUUUCGGUUGGGAGGACUGCUUCUAGCACUAAUAUUGUUGGAAGUUGACGUUACCUUCAGAAGAAGCACCGGCUAACUCCGUGCCAGCAGCCGCGGUAAUACGGAGGGUGCAAGGUUAAUCGGAAUUACUGGGCGUAAAGCGCGCGUAGGCGGCUAGAUCAGUCGGGUGUGAAAGCCCCGGGCUUAACCUGGGAACUGCAUCCGAUACUGUCUAGCUUGAGUACAGGAGAGGAGAGUGGAAUUCCACAUGUAGCGGUGAAAUGCGUAGAUAUGUGGAGGAACACCAAUGGCGAAGGCAGCUCUCUGGCCUUAUACUGACGCUGAGGUGCGAAAGCGUGGGGAGCAAACAGGAUUAGAUACCCGAGUAGUC